UACGUAAGGGGCAAGCGUUGUCCGGAAUCACUGGGCGUAAAGCGCACGUAGGCGGUGUAGCAAGUUGGGGGUGCAAGCUCCGGGCUUAACCCGGAAACUGCCUCCAAAACUACUAUGCUUGAGAGUCAAAGGGGAAGCUGGAAUUCACGGUGUAGCGGUGAAAUGCGUAGAUAUCGGAAGGAACAUCAGUGGCGAAAGCGGCUUCCUGGACCAGCACCGACGUUCAGGCACGAAAGCGUGGGGAGCAAACAGG
rnacentral:rRNA from 1 species